AGAGUUUGAUCCUGGCUCAGGAUGAACGCUAGCUACAGGCUUAACACAUGCAAGUCGAGGGGCAGCAUGGUGUAUCAAUAUAUCUAUGGCGACCAGCGCACCGGUGAUGCACACCUCUCCUACCUGCCCCUUACUCCGGGAUGAUCUUUCUAAAAAAAUAUUACUACUCCAUGGUAUUACCGAAAAACGUCUUUUUGUUGUUUAAAAACUUCGAUGGUGGAAGGUGAUGCUUUCUAUUAUAUACUUGGUGGGGUAACAGCCCACCACCUCAGCGAUGAAUAGGGGUUCUAAUAAGAAGGUCCCCCCCAUGGUAACUGGGCCCCGGUCCAAAUUCUUCGGGAAGCCACCAGUGAGGAUUAUUGUUCAAUGGCGGAGAUUUUGACCCAGCCCAAGUAGCGUGAAGGAUGACUGCUCCCAUAGGUGGUAAACUUCUUUUAUAUGGGAAUAAAGUGAGUCACGUGUGUCUUUUUGUAUGUAUCAUAUGAAUAAGGAUCGGCUAACUCCGUGCCAGCAGCCGCGGUAAUACGGAGGAUUCGAGCGUUAUCCGGAUUUAUUGGGUUUAAAGGGAGCGUAGGCGGUUUGUUAAGUCAGUGGUGAAAGUUUGGGGCUCAACCGUGAAAUUGCAUUUGAUACUGGCGGUCUUGAGUGCAGUAGAGGUGGGCGGAAUUUGUGGUGUAGCGGUGAAAUGCUUAGAUAUCAUGCAGAACUCCGAUUGCGAAGGCAGCUCACCGGAGUGUAUCUGACGUUGAGGCUCGAAAGUGUGGGUAUCAAACAGGAUUAGAUACCCUGGUAGUCCACACAGUAAAGAAGGAAUAUUGUCGUUGUGGGAUCUCCAUUAAGGGGUCAAGGGAAAGCAUUAAUUAUUCCCCUGGGGGAGUAGUCCGCCAGAGGUGAAAUUAAAAGAAAUGGAGGGGGGCCGGCCCAAGGGAAGGACCAUGUGGUUUAAUUGGAGGAUAGGGGAGGACCUUUCCCGGGGUUGAAAGUGCAAAUGAAUUAUGGGGAGAGCCAUUCCCUUCAAGGCAUGAGAGAAGGUGCUGCAUGGUUGUCGUCAGCUCGUGCCGUGAGGUGUCGGGUUAAGUCCCAUAACGAGCGCAACCCUUAUCUUCAGUUACUAUCAGGUCAAGCUGAGCACUCUGGAGAGACUGCCGUUGUAAGAUGAGAGGAAGGUGGGGAUGACGUCAAAUCAGCACGGCCCUUACGUCCGGGGCUACACACGUGUUACAAUGGGGGGUACAGAAGGCAGCUACCCAGCGACAGGAUGCCAAUCCCAAAAACCUAUCUCAGUUCGGAUUGAAGUCUGCAACCCGCCUUCGUGAAGUUGGAUUCGCUAGUAAUCGCGCAUCAGCCAUGGCGCGGUGAAUACGUUCCCGGGCCUUGCACACACCGCCCGUCA
rnacentral:rRNA from 1 species